rnacentral:rRNA from 1 species
AUUGAACGCUGGCGGCAUGCUUUACACAUGCAAGUCGAACGGCAGCACGGGUGCUUGCACCUGGUGGCGAGUGGCGGACGGGUGAGUAAUGCAUCGGAACGUGUCCUGAAGUGGGGGAUAACGCAUCGAAAGAUGUGCUAAUACCGCAUAUUCUCUGAGGAGAAAAGUAGGGGAUCGAAAGACCUUAUGCUUUUGGAGCGGCCGAUGUCUGAUUAGCUAGUUGGUAAGGUAAUGGCUUACCAAGGCAACGAUCAGUAGUUGGUCUGAGAGGACGGCCAGCCACACUGGGACUGAGACACGGCCCAGACUCCUACGGGAGGCAGCAGUGGGGAAUUUUGGACAAUGGGCGCAAGCCUGAUCCAGCCAUUCCGCGUGCAGGAUGAAGG